UUCAUCUUCUUGCUCCUCUUCAAAGGCAGGAUGUGUGAAGAUGUUGCCCAGGAGCUGUGUCCCUCUGAGGGCAUUGGUGAGAGGGAGAUGCCCCUCUGGCGUGUCAUCAUUCAGCUCCCAGAUGAACUCAUCAGGGAAGGCCCUGUAGUUGAACUGCUCCACCUCGGUGUCAAGCUUCUUCAUCCACCCAACCCUGAUGAAGAAGCGGGUGAAGUCGCGCCGCGACUUCUCCCACAGCCGCCGCUGCACGCUGUACCCGAACCGGCCACCGCUGUGCUCCUGCCAGAGCGCGUCGAUGGCCCGGAGGUCAUCGGCGGAGAUGAACUGCACCUCCGAGAAGAAGACG
rnacentral:misc_RNA from 1 species